AUGAGUCUCAUCUUCAAUAAAAUCCUUCUCAUCUACAUCAAAACCACAAUCUUCAUGAGCAUCACCCUCACUUCUAUAGCGAAGAUGAUGAGUUUUUGUACGGCUGUGUAUGACAGCUGUAUCACUGUGGUAUUCGGCCAAGGGACGAAACUCAUUGUCACUGACGGCUCUCUCGCCGCGCCCUCGCUGACUCUCCUCCCUCCGUCCAGCGAGCAGCUCCAGGCGGACAAAGCCGCGCUCGUCUGUCUGGCUCAGGUGUCCGUCGGGUUCGCCGAAGUCAGCUGGACAUAUAACGGGCGUCCGAUGGCCGACGGGGUUUCCACAGGGGCCGCAAAGCAGCAGGAGGACAAAUCCUUCGCUCUGAGCAGCUUUUUGUCCGUAAAGCCCUCGGACUGGGACAGCGACGGCGUCUUUUCCUGCAAAGUGUCGCUCGGCUCCAAACAGUCCGAGGCGACAAUAAAGAAGAGCGACUGCGGUGUGUGAUGCACAAUUCCACGCAGAUUAUACUCGUUUCAGCCGUAAACUCAGUAUUUUCUAUUAGUCUAUGGCAUUUGUCGUAUAUCCUAAUAAGUGUGUCUCCAAUGUUGU